rnacentral:rRNA from 1 species
AGCGAACGCUGGCGGCAGGCCUAACACAUGCAAGUCGAACGAACUCUUCGGAGUUAGUGGCGGACGGGUCAGUAACACGUGGGAACGUGCCUUUUGGUUCGGAAUAACUCAGGGAAACUUGUGCUAAUACCGAAUGUGCCCUUCGGGGGAAAGAUUUAUCGCCAUUAGAGCGGCCCGCGUCUGAUUAGCUAGUUGGUGAGGUAACGGCUCACCAAGGCGACGAUCAGUAGCUGGUCUGAGAGGAUGACCAGCCACACUGGGACUGAGACACGGCCCAGACUCCUACGGGAGGCAGCAGUGGGGAAUCUUGCGCAAUGGGCGAAAGCCUGACGCAGCCAUGCCGCGUGAAUGAUGAAGGUCUUAGGAUUGUAAAAUUCUUUCACCGGGGACGAUAAUGACGUUACCCGGAGAAGAAGCCCCGGCUAACUUCGUG